rnacentral:rRNA from 1 species
GGCGGACGGGUGAGUAACACGUAGGUAACCUGCCCAGAAGCGGGGGACAACAUUUGGAAACAGAUGCUAAUACCGCAUAACAACGUUGUUCGCAUGAACAACGCUUAAAAGAUGGCUUCUCGCUAUCACUUCUGGAUGGACCUGCGGUGCAUUAGCUUGUUGGUGGGGUAACGGCCUACCAAGGCGAUGAUGCAUAGCCGAGUUGAGAGACUGAUCGGCCACAAUGGGACUGAGACACGGCCCAUACUCCUACGGGAGGCAGCAGUAGGGAAUCUUCCACAAUGGGCGCAAGCCUGAUGGAGCAACACCGCGUGAGUGAAGAAGGGUUUCGGCUCGUAAAGCUCUGUUGUUAAAGAAGAACACGUAUGAGAGUAACUGUUCAUACGUUGACGGUAUUUAACCAGAAAGUCACGGCUAACUACGUGCCAGCAGCCGCGGUAAUACGUAGGUGGCAAGCGUUAUCCGGAUUUAUUGGGCGUAAAGAGAGUGCAGGCGGUUUUCUAAGUCUGAUGUGAAA